rnacentral:rRNA from 1 species
CUGGCGACCGGCGCACGGGUGAGUAACACGUAUCCAACCUACCCUUACUCGGGAUAGCCUUUCGAAAGAAAGAUUAAUACCGAUAGCAUAAUGAUUCCGCAUGGUUUCAUUAUUAAAGGAUUCCGGUAAAGGAUGGGGAUGCGUUCCAUUAGGUUGUUGGUGGGGUAACGGCCCACCAAGCCUUCGAUGGAUAGGGGUUCUGAGAGGAAGGUCCCCCACAUUGGAACUGAGACACGGUCCAAACUCCUACGGGAGGCAGCAUG